AUCUGUGGCCAAACCACCUGGAAUGUUCCUGGUCUCAUCUGGUCUUAGAAGCCAAGCAAAGUCAGAGCCUUCUUAGUGCCUGAGUGGGAGACUGCCUGGGAAUACUAGGUGCUGUAGACU
rnacentral:rRNA from 1 species